rnacentral:rRNA from 1 species
UACGGGGGGGGCAAGCGUUGUUCGGAAUUACUGGGCGUAAAGGGCUCGUAGGCGGCCAACUAAGUCAGACGUGAAAUCCCUCGGCUUAACCGGGGAACUGCAUCUGAUACUGGAUGGCUUGAGAUUGGGAGAGGGAUGCGGAAUUCCAGGUGUAGUGGUGAAAUGCGUAGAUAUCGGGAGGAAUACCAGUGGCGAAGGCGGCUGCCUGGCCUGUUCUUGACGCUGAGGCGCGAAAGCUGGGGGAGCAAACAGG